UACAGAGGGUGCAAGCGUUAAUCGGAGUAACUGGGCGUAAAGGGCGCGUAGGCGGUUUGAUAAGUGAGAUGUGAAAUCCCUGGGCUUAACCUAGGAAUGGCAUUUUAGACUAUUGAACUGGAGUGCAGUAGAGGGUGGCGGAAUUUCCGGUGUAGCGGUGAAAUGCGUAGAGAUCGGAAGGAACACCAGUGGCGAAGGCGGCCACCUGGACUGUCACUGACGCUGAGGCGCGAGAGCGUGGGGAGCAAACAGG
rnacentral:rRNA from 1 species